AGGGAAUGAAGGCUGGCAUCUAAACUCAAUCAGCAAAAUAAAUUCAAUAAGGAAGAUUUGAAGAUCAAAGACCUUCCUCUCUCUGGCUUCACAUUUCUCAUCACUAGUUGAAAGCCUGAAAGAACAAAAAAGCUGACCCUUCCCUGAGUAAGAGAGAAUUCUUCCUGCGUGAUGAUCUUCAAUCUGGGACAUUGACUUUUUUUCUGCCUUUGGCCUGAAACAUUGGCUCUCCCUGGGUCUCGAGCCUGCGGGCCUUUGGACUGGAACUAAAUUAUCAGCUCUCCUGGGCCUCCAGGUUGUCUAUUCACCCUGCAGAUCUUUCAACUUGCCAGACCCCAUAAUUAUGUGAACCAAUUCAUUAUAAAAAUAAAUCUCGAUUGCUGGCAAGAUGGCCGAACAGGAACAGCUCCGGCCUGUAGCUCCCAGCGAGAUCGACAUAGAAGGCCUAGGUCAUCAAGAUGCACAGCACAGGACAGAAGCCCCUCUAGUCCUGCACCUGGUGACAUGGAACUGCUGUGCUGGUCCACACAGACACAGCCUCCAACCAAGCCUGGCUCCUACCCAUCACAGUUCUGUAGGCUGCCCAUUUGCAGAAGGCCUUCCAUCUGACACUCCUCCUCGCCUGCUUGUUCUCCAGCCAUGUUGUGGCCAAUUUGCCAUGAGGAGGUUGCAGUGGCCAAGACUGUUGGAAACUGUGCGGUGUAGCUGGGAGAGAAAGGACACACUCUAAAUGUUCUUACUGCCUGUGACGAUGCAGCUACAGCGAUGUACUAGCUGCUCACAAGCCUGUUCCUUCUUCCAUUGUAGGGCAUGAAGAAUUCCCUUAUCACUGGGUAAGAAGGGGGAACAGAAGUUUUUCUCAUGCCUAAUUUUGCGUUUUCAGUAAGGUCUUUUUCAGCUUGUCCAGGAGAAACUGGAAAAAAAAAGAUACUUGAAAUAAACUGAAGGACAUUUAAACAAAAAAAAAAAAAAAAAAAAAAAA
rnacentral:lncRNA from 1 species